UACGGAGGGUGCAAGCGUUGUCCGGAAUCACUGGGCGUAAAGGGCGCGUAGGCGGCCUGGUAAGUAGGGGGUGAAAUCCUGCGGCUUAACCGCAGGGCUGCCUUCUAAACUGUCAGGCUUGAGCACGGUAGAGGCAGAUGGAAUUCCCGGUGUAGCGGUGGAAUGCGUAGAGAUCGGGAAGAACACCAACGGCGAAAGCACUCUGCUGGGCCGACACUGACACUGAGAGACGAAAGCUAGGGGAGCGAAUGGG
rnacentral:rRNA from 1 species